rnacentral:rRNA from 1 species
GACGAACGCUGGCGGCGUGCCUAAUACAUGCAAGUAGAACGCUGAAGGAGGAGCUUGCUUCUCUGGAUGAGUUGCGAACGGGUGAGUAACGCGUAGGUAACCUGCCUGGUAGCGGGGGAUAACUAUUGGAAACGAUAGCUAAUACCGCAUAAGAGUAGAUGUUGCAUGACAUUUGCUUAAAAGGUGCAAUUGCAUCACUACCAGAUGGACCUGCGUUGUAUUAGCUAGUUGGUGGGGUAACGGCUCACCAAGGCGACGAUACAUAGCCGACCGGCGAGGGUGAUCAGCCACACUGGGACUGAGACACGGCCCAGACUCACACGGGAGGCAGCAGUAGGGAAUCUUCGGCAAGGGACGGAAGUCUGACCGAGCAACGCCGCGUGAGUGUAGAAGGUUGUCGGAUCGUAAAGCUCGGUUGUAAGAGAAGAACGAGUGUGAGAGUGGAAAGUUCACACUGUGACGGUAUCUUAUCAGAAAGGAACGGCUAACUACGUG